UACAGAGGUCUCAAGCGUUGUUCGGAUUCAUUGGGCGUAAAGGGUGCGUAGGCGGCGCGGUAAGUCGGGUGUGAAAUCUUGGAGCUUACUCCGAAACUGCAUUCGAUACUGCCGUGCUUGAGGACUGGAGAGGAGACUGGAAUUUACGGUGUAGCGGUGAAAUGCGUAGAUAUCGUAAGGAAGACCAGUGGCGAAGGCGGGUCUCUGGACAGUUCCUGACGCUGAGGCACGAAGGCCAGGGGAGCAAACGGG
rnacentral:rRNA from 1 species